rnacentral:sRNA from 1 species
GAGCAGGAGCAGCGGGGGAUGACUUCCGAUCCGACACCCCCAAAAUCUCCUGGACAAAGCUGCUGUCUUUGCGGGAUAAACAGAAAAGGGCCAGUCCCCACCUCACCCCCAGCCCGCCGCCCCGCAAGUACCUGGGGCUGGGGAGUCAGCGAACUCUCCUCAGCUGUUCGGCUCUCCCGGCUCAGAGCGAGGGGAAUCGAGGAGACUGGGCGCAGGCUGGGGGUGGACACCCGGCCGCUGCUCCUCCGCGCGGGAAGUUCUUCUAAAUCAGGAAUGGAUUGAAAUCUAAUGAACUGAAACUUUG